GAUGAACAAGCAGAUGUACCUCAUCUUAAUAUGAGCUAAUCUUUUAUCAGAAUCCUUAUUUAUAACCAGACUUUCCCACAUAGAGAGGAAAAUGUGAUAUAUUUUAUUUAAACACAUAAUUUUAAAGUAAAUUUUGAGAAAUUCAUUCAUCUAUAAAAUAAGUGUGCCUGUGUGAGGAAACGGGGAAAUGGUAAAUAGGAAGACAAAGGGUAAAGAUUCCCAAUCUUCUUUUUGUCUUAUAUGGUAAGAUGAUAAAGGAGAUUUUUUUGUAGCAUUAAACUCAUGUUUUUUUCUCUUUCAAAAUAGUUUAUACUGUUCUAGUGUAUAGAGUUUUACAAUACCUGGACCAAAGAUAAAUUGAAAUAAAAUUUGUUCAUCUUUCUGUUCAUCCUUCCAAUCUGGUUCAUCCUUCCAAUCUGGCAAUUCUGCUAUAGACUCUGUAGUGUUUCCAUAAGCAAAUCAUGAUUUUUGAGCAAUUCAUCAAUUAUUUUUGUCAUAUUUUCUAAGGUUUAUUCUUUUAAAAAUAAGUUGCUUUUUCUUUUUUUUUUUUUUAGGACCUCACCGGAAGCACAUGGCAGUUCCCGGGCUAGGGGCUGAGUGGAGGUGUACCUGCCAGCCUACACCACCACCACAGCAACGCAGGAUCUGAGCUGCAUCUGCGACCGACCUACACCACAGCUAACAGCAACGCCACAUCCUUACUUAACUCACUGUGUGAGUCCAGGGAUCGAACUUGCAUCCUCAUAGAUACUAGUCAGGUUAGUUACCACUGAGCCAUAAUGGGAACUCUAAAUCAUCCUUUGGGUUGUCUUGAGAAAUCGCAAAGUGGCUGGAUAUGGGAAGGUCCUGGUGCUUAUCAAUAAUUAGUUCCUAACAGCAUGUAAUAGAGGCAUUGCUCAGUUAUGAACAUGAUGGUGUGUUCCUCCGGAACUUAGACCCUAACAAUUAGUCUCGUAGACAAUGUCAUCUUAGCUUCAGAGUACAAUUAGUCUUCUUCCCUUGGCUCACUAAGAUUAGAAAUUACAUGUUAUCUAGGUUUGAGUGUUACAAUGUAGACUGUUAUUUCAAAUAUAUUUAGUGCAGGCAUAAUGAAUCAACCAUGAAAUGACACAUACACACUCCUUUGACUUCCUACUGUGGAACCAGAUAAAUAUGAGAAAGAUUUUAGAUUAUAACCCUUUGGUUACAAAAUAUUCAUGCGCAUGUAAUUUCCCACACAAAGCCCUUAUGACUAACAAGUCAUGGAAUAGUAAUGAGAUAUAAAGACUAAAUAUCACCUCUUUUUGUCUAUUUAUCCUUGGUUUGGCCUUCUCCUUGCCCAGCAAGCCUUAAAAAAAGUAUCUUAGUUUGAAACUUGUCACAUAGACUAUGGCCAAAAUGAAAAUAACAAGUUUUUCAUAGGUCUUCAGUGGUUUUCAAGACUCCUUGAAUGACUAGGAAACAGGAUGCUUUAUAUAUAUAAUUCAACAAAUUAUAGCUUUGGAAAUGAAAGCUGUUGGUAACAUGACGAUGAUAUGGCAUCUGAUUUUGCAAUAAUUCCCAUUCAUGUGGAUUAUUAAAGGCAAAACAUCUUUAACUAAAACUAUAAAAGAUCAAGGAAAAAUAUGCUCUAAUUUAGUUCUUGGGAUAAAGAUGAUUUUUUUUCAGUUGAAUAUAUAUUUAUUGGCCAUCGAUUUUAUUCCAGGUUUGUGCUAGGUCCUUAGGAUACCAAAACAAAUAAAACUUAGUUUCUGCUCUUCAGGAGCUUAAAUCUAGUGUGGGUUUCUCAUUUGGGGUUCUGCAGAAGUCAUUAGGAGUUCUAUGAGAGGUUAACUAGGAAUUCCAGAAGAGAUUGGAAAACACAUGAAAUUUUUUUGAACUUCCUUCCUCAUGCAAUGCCAGCACUUGCAGUAAAGAAUAGUGAUCAAGCAGUCCUGUUAACAAUUUUAAAAAUUGUUUUAUUUUAUUGUGCUAUGAAUACCUAACAUGAAGUCUACCCUUAUGACAAAAUUUUAAGUGUUAAGAGGUACAAUAUUAAAGAGCAAGAUCUAGAGCUUGUUCAUCUUGCUUAACUGAAUUUUUAUGAACACUGAUUUUGUAACUCUCCAUUUCUCCCUGCACUCACCCCCAGGCAACUACCAUCCCACACUCUGAUCCCAUGAAUUUGAUUAUUUUAGAUACAUCUUAAGUAGAAUCACACAGUAUUUGUUUCUCUGUCACUGUCUUAUUUCAUCUAUCAGGAAAGUGAAAGGGCAACCAGUGAAAAAGGAGAAAAU
rnacentral:lncRNA from 1 species